CAAUCAUUUCAGUGCUGAGAUGUGUUUUCCUGCCACUGAUUCUGCUUUUGGAGAACAUUGCCCUUCAUUUCUACUAUAAGGUCAUCAAAAAGCAGAAAUCAGACAAAAAGCAGAACGAUGAGACGGAUGUUUCCAGAGCUGAAGAAGUGGAGGCCGAGGAGGAAGCAGUCCAAGAAAUAGAAGAGAAACAUAGAAACAAACACACAAGUCUAAAUUUUUGUUGGAAUUUAGAUUAAAAUUGUUUAAAUCUUGUUUAAUUAUGUUUAUGUUUUUUAAAUGUCUGACACAUUACUGCAGCGACUCUAUUUAACCUGCCUUUACUGUCCAGUAUAAACUCUUAAUAGCAUGACUGUGACUUAAGUUUGAAAAUAAUCCUUCAUCGUCUACAGUCCUCACUUUCUUACAUCUUCCUCCAUCUCUGCCAUUGAAGUUUUCACACAUUAAAUUUUUUACUUCUCACUAAACUGUAUCUUUGGCUAACAGACAGAAUUUAUGUCAAUCUGCACAUAAACAUGUUUUUAUGUUUGGUGAUAUUUUUGAAAUUCUUUCAAAUUAUCUGCCACUUACAAAAAAUUCCUGCAAUUAUAGCAUCCUAUUCUGUACAACAAUAUACUGGCAGAGAAAAAACCAAAAGGCAGUAAAAAGUGUUGUUUAUGCUUUGAAUCAUCAUCACACCUGGAGGAUUUUUCCUGAAGACUACAGAAGAAAUUAGAAGAACGCUGGCUAAGAGAGUUCAGGCUGUGUUGAUCAAUAAAGUUGAAUGUUGCACGU